rnacentral:rRNA from 1 species
UGGUGGGGUAACGGCUCACCAAAGCAACGAUCAAUAGCCGGCCUGAGAGGGUGAACGGCCACACUGGAACUGAGACACGGUCCAGACUCCUACGGGAGGCAGCAGUGGGGAAUAUUGCACAAUGGGGGAAACCCUGAUGCAGCAACGCCGCGUGAGCGAUGAAGGUUUUCGAAUCGUAAAGCUCUGUCCUAAGGGAAGAUAAUGACGGUACCUUAGGAGGAAGCCCCGGCUAACUACGUGCCAGCAGCCGCGGUAACACGUAGGGGGCAAGCGUUAUCCGGAAUUAUUGGGCGUAAAGGGUGCGUAGGCGGCCUUAUGGGUCAGAGGUUAAAUACUAUAGCUUAACUAUAGUCCGCCUUUGAAACUAUAAGGCUUGAGUGCAGGAGAGGAGAGUGGAAUUCCUAGUGUAGCGGUGAAAUGCGUAGAUAUUAGGAGGAAUACCAGUGGCGAAGGCGACUCUCUGGACUGCAACUGACGCUAAGGCACGAAAGCGUGGGUAGCGAACAGGAUUAGAUACCCUGGUAGUCCACGCCAUAAACGAUGAGUGCUAGGUGUUGGGGGUCAAACCUCGGUGCCGCAGUUAA